rnacentral:rRNA from 1 species
CAUGAAGUCGGAAUUGCUAGUAAUGGCGGGUCAGCAUACUGCCGUGAAUACGUUCCCGGGCCUUGUACACACCGCCCGUCACACCAUGAGAGUUGGAGAUACCCGAAGCCUAUGAGCUAACUUUUAGAGGCAGUAGUCGAAGGUAGAAUCAAUGAUUGGGGUGAAGUCGUAACAAGGUAAC